rnacentral:rRNA from 1 species
GAUGAACGCUGGCGGCGUGCCUAAUACAUGCAAGUCGAGCGAACGGACGAGAAGCUUGCUUCUCUGAUGUUAGCGGCGGACGGGUGAGUAACACGUGGAUAACCUACCUAUAAGACUGGGAUAACUUCGGGAAACCGGAGCUAAUACCGGAUAAUAUUUUGAACCGCAUGGUUCAAAAGUGAAAGACGGUCUUGCUGUCACUUAUAGAUGGAUCCGCGCUGCAUUAGCUAGUUGGUAAGGUAACGGCUUACCAAGGCAACGAUGCAUAGCCGACCUGAGAGGGUGAUCGGCCACACUGGAACUGAGACACGGUCCAGACUCCUACGGGAGGCAGCAGUAGGGAAUCUUCCGCAAUGGGCGAAAGCCUGACGGAGCAACGCCGCGUGAGUGAUGAAGGUCUUCGGAUCGUAAAACUCUGUUAUUAGGGAAGAACAUAUGUGUAAGUAACUGUGCACAUCUUGACGGUACCUAAUCAGAAAGCCACGGCUAACUACGUGCCAGCAGCCGCGGUAAUACGUAGGUGGCAAGCGUUAUCCGGAAUUAUUGGGCGUAAAGCGCGCGUAGGCGGUUUUUUAAGUCUGAUGUGAAAGCCCACGGCUCAACCGUGGAGGGUCAUUGGAAACUGGAAAACUUGAGUGCAGAAGAGGAAAGUGGAAUUCCAUGUGUAGCGGUGAAAUGCGCAGAGAUAUGGAGGAACACCAGUGGCGAAGGCGACUUUCUGGUCUGUAACUGACGCUGAUGUGCGAAAGCGUGGGGAUCAAACAGGAUUAGAUACCCUGGUAGUCCACGCCGUAAACGAUGAGUGCUAAGUGUUAGGGGGUUUCCGCCCCUUAGUGCUGCAGCUAACGCAUUAAGCACUCCGCCUGGGGAGUACGACCGCAAGGUUGAAACUCAAAGGAAUUGACGGGGACCCGCACAAGCGGUGGAGCAUGUGGUUUAAUUCGAAGCAACGCGAAGAACCUUACCAAAUCUUGACAUCCUUUGACAACUCUAGAGAUAGAGCCUUCCCCUUCGGGGGACAAAGUGACAGGUGGUGCAUGGUUGUCGUCAGCUCGUGUCGUGAGAUGUUGGGUUAAGUCCCGCAACGAGCGCAACCCUUAAGCUUAGCUGCCAUCAUUAAGUUGGGCACUCUAAGUUGACUGCCGGUGACAAACCGGAGGAAGGUGGGGAUGACGUCAAAUCAUCAUGCCCCUUAUGAUUUGGGCUACACACGUGCUACAAUGGACAAUACAAAGGGCAGCGAAACCGCGAGGUCAAGCAAAUCCCAUAAAGUUGUUCUCAGUUCGGAUUGUAGUCUGCAACUCGACUACAUGAAGCUGGAAUCGCUAGUAAUCGUAGAUCAGCAUGCUACGGUGAAUACGUUCCCGGGUCU